GGCGCACCCCUCCUCGCCGUCGACGACGACGCGGCGACGGCUUGCACGCGAGGUUGGCGACCCUCGCUGUGCCGACGACUUCUGGUUUUGUGCCAGAUGCAGUGGCCCCUCGCGGCCUGGCCGGAGCUCGCCGAGGUGCCGCAGCAUCUGAACUGGAUCGGAGCCGGGGCCAGAGGGGGGUGAGGAGGUGGAUGACGAGGGCUGUUCGUCCGGACGGUGCUAUGAGGAUUCGGGCUCUGCCGAAAUUUGUUUCGGGUUUGGCAUCGGGGCCUGGCCUUGAAGUCUAUUGGAGCUGAGAUCAAGAGAAUCCAAACGACUGUAUGGGAGUAGAUAUGAAGUGAGUUGCAUAUGUGUGAACAUGUUGUUUGAAAGAUCUAAUUCUCUAAGGCUAUCAUUCCAUGUCUCC